rnacentral:piRNA from 1 species
UCCCGAGAGCCUGCUGUAAAUACGCCAGC